rnacentral:misc_RNA from 1 species
UUUCCGUAGGUGAACCUGCGGAAGGAUCAUUCAUAAUAAGUGUUUUAUGGCACUUUUUUAAAUCCAUGUCCACCUUGUGUGCAAUGUCAGGGUUGAUUUUUCUCUCGAGAGGAUCAACCCCAAACAUCAACUAUAUCUCAACUCUUUGUCUGAAAAAUAUUAUGAAUAAAACAAUUCAAAAUACAACUUUCAACAACGGAUCUCUUGGCUCUC